CAAGAGCAAACUAAGGUGUAUGGAGUUAGGAUCAAAAUCUACUUUGCAUGGUCCUACAAAACAAUACAUUCUUUUUUCUUCUUCUUUUUCUUAUAUAAAGAAAAAGUAAGGAUCUAAUGUCAAUUCAUGGGAUGAAGGAAAAUUUUAGAAGAAGUAGAAUAAUCAAAAUAUGAAUUAAUUUUUAUAUAUAUAAGUAAAAUUCCAAAUCAUUAUUUGACAGCCUGGCCAACUCAACUCUCACAACUCUAUUCCAAUCCUUAUAAGAACAUCUAAAAGAAACAACUCUCCAAAACUCUCUCUCUCUCUCUCUCUCUUAAAUCAUCCUGUAUUCUCUCUUCUUCUCUUAGGCGUGGAAUUUGGCUUUCAUUACUGUCUCUCUCUAAACCAUCAACACUCCUUGUUUUGGAAAAUAUAGCCAUGGAUUUUUUUCUUUCUCUUAACAUAAUCAUUU
rnacentral:lncRNA from 1 species